AACGAACGCUGGCGGCAUGCCUAACACAUGCAAGUCGAACGAGACCUUCGGGUCUAGUGGCGCACGGGUGCGUAACGCGUGGGAAUCUGCCCUGGGGUACGGAAUAACAGUGAGAAAUUACUGCUAAUACCGUAUGAUGACGUAAGUCCAAAGAUUUAUCGCCCUGGGAUGAGCCCGCGUAGGAUUAGCUUGUUGGUGAGGUAAAAGCUCACCAAGGGCGACGAUCCUUAGCUGGUCUGAGAGGAUGAUCAGCCACACUGGGACUGAGACACGGCCCAGACUCCUACGGGAGGCAGCAGCGGGGGAAUAUUGGACAAUGGGCGAAAGCCUGAUCCAGCAAUGCCGCGUGAGUGAUGAAGGCCUUAGGGUUGUAAAGCUCUUUUACCCGGGAAGAUAAUGACUGUACCGGGAGAAUAAGCCCCGGCUAACUCCGUGCCAGCAGCCGCGGUAAU
rnacentral:rRNA from 1 species